rnacentral:rRNA from 1 species
UACAGAGGUCUCAAGCGUUUGUUCGGAUUCAUUGGGCGUAAAGGGUGCGUAGGCGGCGGGGCAAGUCUGGUGUGAAAUCCCGGGGGCUCAACCCCGGAACUGCACUGGAUACUGCUUUGCUAGAGUUACUGGAGAGGGAACUGGAAUUUACGGUGUAGCAGUGAAAUGCGUAGAUAUCGUAAGGAAGACCAGCGGCGAAGGCGAGUUCCUGGACAGUUACUGACGCUGAGGCACGAAGGCCAGGGGAGCAAACGGG